rnacentral:rRNA from 1 species
AGUGAACGCUGGCGGUAGGCCUAACACAUGCAAGUCGAACGGCAGCACAGUAAGAGCUUGCUCUUACGGGUGGCGAGUGGCGGACGGGUGAGGAAUACAUCGGAAUCUACUUUUUCGUGGGGGAUAACGUAGGGAGACUUACGCUAAUACCGCAUACGACCUACGGGUGAAAGCAGGGGAUCUUCGGACCUUGCGCGAUUGAAUGAGCCGAUGUCGGAUUAGCUAGUUGGCGGGGUAAAGGCCCACCAAGGCGACGAUCCGUAGCUGGUCUGAGAGGAUGAUCAGCCACACUGGAACUGAGACACGGUCCAGACUCCUACGGGAGGCAGCAGUGGGGAAUAUUGGACAAUGGGCGCAAGCCUGAUCCAGCCAUACCGCGUGGGUGAAGAAGGCCUUCGGGUUGUAAGGCCCUUUUGUUGGGAAAGAAAAGCAGCAGGUUAAUACCCCGCUGUUCUGACGGUACCCAAAGAAUAAGCACCGGCUAACUUCGUG